CCCAGGAUCCCAGGAUCAUGACCCGAGCUGAAGGCAGCCACCUAACUGACUGAGGCACCAGAUGCCCCAUGAUCUCAAUUUUUAUAGGUUCCAAUUUAUUUGGAAAUGAAAGCUUAAAUGAUUUCUUAAGCAAUUUCAUCUAAGGAUAUACUUGUUUCAAAAUAGGAAGCUUAAGAAUAAAACAUUCAGAGUUAGGCAAAAACAAAGUACUUUUUCAAAGACUUAAAUAAUUAACAGGAGAUUUGAUUUUCUUCUUAGGAUGUAUUUAGGACUUGGGGAAGGAAUGGCAAUAACAAGAUACCAAGGUCCCCCCUGCAGAAAGAACUGGAGCUCAGCUGAGAGCCUGAAAGUCAAGACUGAACAGAAGGUGAUAGCAGGGAAUCUGGGGCCCUAAAAUAAUCAACAGGGAAAGUUUGGAGCGAUUGUGCUAACAUGUGUUAGGAAAUUUGUUUUCUACUUAUACUAUGUUAUUGAAGAGUGAUAUAAAAUUUUUAGUGUAUCAAAAUACAGCCUGUUUACAUUAUUGGUGUUAAAGCCAUAAGUACUAAAAAUAAAGUAAAUCAAACAGCA